CUAAAGGGUCUGUGCAACUCUAGUUUUUGAGCAGAAAAAUGGAGCCCAUAUCAUGUUUAUCUGUACAUAAAGAACGCUCCCCCUCGACUGGUGAGUGCUGUAUGGCUGUCAAGACAUAUGGCCGACAUAAUUUGUGGAAUCCUACAGGGUUGGCUCGUUUCGGCCGACCCUAAA